rnacentral:rRNA from 1 species
ACGAACGCUGGCGGCGUGCUUAACACCUGCCAGUCGCACGGAAAGGCCCUGCUUGCAGGGUACUCGAGUGGCGAACGGGUGAGUAACACGUGGGUGAUCUGCCCUGCACUUCGGGAUAAGCCUGGGAAACUGGGUCUAAUACCGGAUAGGAGCCAUUUUUAGUGUGAUGGUUGGAAAGUUUUUUCGGUGUAGGAUGAGCUCGCGGCCUAUCAGCUUGUUGGUGGGGUAAUGGCCUACCAAGGCGGCGACGGGUAGCCGGCCUGGGAGGGUGGACGGCCACAUUGGGACUGAGAUGCGGCCCAGACUCCUACGGGAGGCAGCAGUGGGGAAUAUUGCACAAUGGGCGCAAGCCUGAUGCAGCGACGCCGCGUGGGGGAUGACGGCCUUCGGGUUGUAAACUCCUUUCGCUAGGGACGAAGCUUUUUGUGACGGUACCUAGAUAAGAAGCACCGGCUAACUACGUG